UACGUAGGGUCCGAGCGUUGUCCGGAAUUAUUGGGCGUAAAGAGCGCGCAGGCGGCUUGGCAAGUCGGGUGUGAAAUCCCGGGGCUCAACCCCGUGACUGCAUCCGAUACUGUCAGGCUAGAGGUAGGUAGGGGAGAUCGGAAUUCCUGGUGUAGCGGUGAAAUGCGCAGAUAUCAGGAGGAACACCGGUGGCGAAGGCGGAUCUCUGGGCCUUACCUGACGCUCAGGCGCGAAAGCUAGGGGAGCGAACAGG
rnacentral:rRNA from 1 species